CAGGUUUCCCAGGUUUUGUGGGUGAAGACGUCCUCUGACUGAUUCUCUAGCAAUCCUCUGAUGGCUGCUAGCUUAGGCCAACUUUCCUAGAGUGAUGAUUAAACUAAAGGGCCAGGCCUUUUGGUCUACGCAGUCUGUCUGCAGUUCCAACAGCUGACACCUGAUGCUCCAACCCUGGAGGGGUCAGAGGACUAACUGGGGCCAACAGCCACUAGCGAGGCACCAAGAAGCACAAGCAAAGAAAGAAGAGGUGUGGAACAGCUAGUUUGUCACAAUCUUGCAUAAUACCUUUCUGUUGUGAUGAGAGGAGCAAAAGCAGCAGGGAAGAAUGAGGGAAGCUCUUCAAGGAAAUGUCUGG